AUGAGCAGAGGUUCGGCUUGUCGCGGCUACUGCGGUUGUUGCACGCGGUCUGGAGGGUGCAGAUUUAGUAUGGAGAUCGGAGUUGUCGGCGAGAGCGACUGCCUUCGGUUAUUGCACCCGGUCUGGAGGGUCGCACGCAAUCGAGGCGUGAAGGAAGUUCCGGAGCUUGAUCGGUUACCCCAUUCUCUCUGUAACUUUCGUCUCUUUUUUUUGUAA